ensembl:lncRNA
ACACACACUACACACACUAUACACACACACUCCCAUAUUUGUUUUUCUUUCCACAAGUCUCUUAUAAAACCUCAGGAACAAUGAUGUAUUUUAGAGUACUAUGCUCUGACACACACUACACACACACACACACACCAUGCCCAGUAAGGGCAUUCGUUUUCCCACACAGAGCUCUUGAGUUUCACUGUUGAAAGGUCAACAAACCUUACCACCAACACCAAUGCUAUGGUAUUUCAACAGAAACCCCCUGGAACUCUGACCACAGCUAGCUACACAUGGGAUUCUGGGUAGUGAUAUAGUGGCAAAACAAAUAGGUGGGUAGAAGCCGAUCACAGAGCGAUUUAAAGUAACGCUCCCUGUAUUUUCUGUUCUCCUCAAAAGGUAGGGAGAAAAUCCCGCAAAAUCAAAAAAGAUGGUGUGUAACCUGGGAAACCUCUCUCAUGGUUACCAUAGUGACAGGCUAGCUGAGCCCAGUACAGAGCUGGAGAAAACUAGCACCUCCAGUUAACACAUGGUCUCCACGUCUAACCCCCGACACACACACCCUCCCUGACCUGUCCACUCUCUCCCCGAGGACUGUUUACAUUCUGACUGGAGCAGAACACUGAUUCCUCUGAUUCACUAGAGGCUUUCUAUCUAAAUCACCAGGGUUACAACAGAACGCUGAUUCACUAGAGGCUUUAUAUCUAAAUCACCAGGGUUACAACAGAAUGCUGAUUCACUAGAGGCUUUAUAUCUAAAUCACCAGGGUUACAACAGAACACUGAUUCACUAGAGGCUUUCUAUCUAAAUCACCAGGGUUACCACAGAACACUGAUUCACGAGAGGCUUUAUAUCUAAAUCACCAGGGUUACAACAGAACACUGAUUCACUAGAGGCUUUAUAUCUAAAUCACCAGGGUUACAACAGAACACUGAUUCACUAGAGGCUUUCUAUCUAAAUCACCAGGGUUACAACAGAACACUGAUUCACUAGAGGCUUUAUAUCUAAAUCACCAGGGUUACAACAGAACACUGAUUCACUAGAGGCUUUCUAUCUAAAUCACCAGGGUUACCACAGAACACUGAUUCACUAGAGGCUUUAUAUCUAAAUCACCAGGGUUACAACAGAACACUGAUUCACUAGAGGCUUUCUAUCUAAACCACCAGGGUUACAACAGAACACUGAUUCCUCUGAUUCACUAGAGGCUUUAUAUCUAAACCACCAGGGUUACAACAGAACACUGAUUCACUAGAGGCUUUAUAUCUAAACCACCAGGGUUACAACAGAACACUGAUUCACUAGAGGCUUUCUAUCUAAAUCACCAGGGUUACAACAGAACACUGAUUCACUAGAGGCUUUCUAUCUAAACCACCAGGGUUACAACAGAACACUGAUUCCUCUGAUUCACUAGAGGCUUUAUAUCUAAACCACCAGGGUUACAACAGAACACUGAUUCACUAGAGGCUUUCUAUCUAAAUCACCAGGGUUAC